rnacentral:misc_RNA from 1 species
UUGUCCAUUUAGACACUUGAUUGCGUAAGAAAAGAAAAUGUUCGGAAGUCAAAAUGGCAAAACCAAAAAAGUUCAAACACCAACAAUAUGAUUAUCCCUUGACUAACCUAAUAAAUAAUUAAUUAAGAAGCAAAAACAAGAAAAUCCAUUACUUGAUAUAGAUAUAUCAUCUGGGACAUCAAAGAAAGUGACUAAAUUAAGAGACGACCAACCUUUCAAUGAACUUAACGAAAAGCUACUUUAACCUCACAAGGAUGCUAAAUUAGAUUACCAUAGAAGAAUAACUUGUUCACCACAAGUGUCAAUUAUCAACCAGAAUUAAGUUUUUGAACUUCAAUGCAGUUCAAAAUUGAAAAGCAAUCCAAACUACUACUACAAAAAAAAUUGCAUUUUGAAAAAAAUGGAUACUUGCCUCAAAAGCAGGAAAAUUGUUUUGAGCAAUAGUUGAAGACAGCCAAAGCCAAGUGCAAGGUUCAAAUCAUAAUAAUAUAGCCGCCAUUCAUAUAAAAUAUGCUCACAGGUAGAGGUAACUUUCCAUUCUUUACCUAAUGAAGACGUUGCUAUAGAACUAUCAUUGGAUCAUGACUUUUUUAUAAAAAAGUUUUAGCCUGUUCCUUUUUUUUUUAUCAUAUUAUAUUAAUUGCAUUUUUAGCUGCUGCAUUAGGACUUGCCAUUUAUCAAUACUCUGCAAAAA